AGUGAACGCUGGCGGUAGGCCUAACACAUGCAAGUCGAACGGCAGCACAGUAAGAGCUUGCUCUUACGGGUGGCGAGUGGCGGACGGGUUAGGAAUACAUCGGAAUCUACUUUUUCGUGGGGGAUAACGUAGGGAAACUUACGCUAAUACCUCAUACGACCUACGGGUGAAAGCAGGGGAUCUUCGGACCUUGCGCGAUUGAAUGAGCCGAUGUCGGAUUAGCGAGUUGGGGGGGUAAAGGCCCACCAAGGCGACGAUCCGUAGCUGGUCUGAGAGGAUGAUCAGCCACACUGGAACUGAGACACGGUCCAGACUCCUACGGGAGGCAGCAGUGGGGAAUAUUGGACAAUGGGCGCAAGCCUGAUCCAGCCAUACCGCGUGGGUGAAGAAGGCCUUCGGGUUGUAAAGCCCUUUUGUUGGGAAAGAAAAGCAGCAGGUUAAUACCCCGCUGUUCUGACGGUACCCAAAGAAUAAGCACCGGCUAACUUCGUG
rnacentral:rRNA from 1 species